rnacentral:misc_RNA from 1 species
GCUGAUUCAGUUCAUAAAAAUAAAACUACAAAAUUCAAUGUUAAUGACUCUCAUGAACUACAAAGAAUUUUGCAUCAACGGUUUUGUGUAAAAGAAUACAGUGUCUAUGACUAGGGGGUAAAAAUUAUACCCAUAUACCCCCAUGAAGCUCAAAAGAUGAUAAAUAUUCCACAAAAAAAGUUUAAAAAAUCUAGAAACAAACACAAUUUUCAAUUGUUUCACAGUUGGAACUAUUACUCACCUGAUGAGGGGAAAAUUUUACAGUGACUCAUGAAAUCUUCUUUCAGUGUUGAUUGACCCUUGGUUGUUGUAAUUUACAUUCCAGACGAUGUUCGGUUUAUUCUUUGGGCACCCAAUUUAGGAACUGUAGGUUUGUUUCCUCGGCCUCGUCCAAUUGAAGAUCUAGCUUUAGAAGUCGGUACAGGAGCUGCAAUAGCAGCCCAUGGGUCAUUAGCAUCUAAUGAUCCACCUUUUUUCACAUUCAGAGAUGACUUUGCUGAAGGUGCUGGGGCAGAUAUGGCACCCCAUGGGUCCUCAUCAUCGUCGACUGUUCUACUUGAUCUAGUGCUUGAUGGCUGGGAACUAGUUCUUGGAGCAGGAGCAGUAGCAGGUACCGAUCCCCACGGGUCUUCAUCAUCAUUUUUGAUACUUCCUCGUAAACUAGCAACUUGUGGUUUUGGUUGAGAGACAGGACGUUUUUGAGCAGCUUGGAUAUUUGCAAGAAAGGGAGAUGGUUUUGGUUCUUCUUGGGGCUCGAUAUCAUCCCAACCAUCUUUAUCACCAUCAAGACCUUCUAGACCAUUUUCAAGUUCUCCCCAUCCAUCAUUUAAUGAUGGGGAUACUGAAACAUGCUGAUCUGUCAUAUCUGAGCUGGAACUAACAUGAAUUGGUGUUAUACUCGAACUAUCUGCAAUUGAGCUAGAAUUGGGGACUGCAGAAGGAGGCAUGCUUGAGCUAGCUGGAGCAUAUGAACCCUGCUCAGAGGAUUUACCGCCUUUAAGAGUCAGUGAGCUCAUAGCCCAACCUAGCAAACUCGCAUUUCCUGGAAUUGAUGAAGUUCCCAUGCUUGUGGUGCUGGUAUCUCCAGUGUUAGUCUUCUCAUGGUGCUGCUUGACUAAUUGCAAAAAUUGAUCAACUGCUUCGAAUGCUUUUGAUUGAACAUCACUGUCUGGAUCAAUCGUAAAUACAACAAUAUUAGGUAAAAUGCGGGUUGCAAUCUCAGUCACGUCAUAGUAAGAACUGGUAGCAGACAAAGCCAUGAUACCUGCUGCUCGGGCAGGAGCAAAUGUAUCACGCAAGGCACGAACAGUGAGUGCAUUUAUUAGAACCCUUUUCCUUGUCCCCUCAUUGAGGUAACCGGCAAUAUUUCCAAGCAAAAUAGUAGUGUUUGUUCUAAUUGCCGGUUCUUCAUCAACCUGUAGCUUGGAAAGAUAUUUCAACAAAGAUCCCGAUAUAGUGCGAUGUGAGAGCUUAGGAGCCAAUACAAGCAUAGAUUUAAGUGUCAACUCCCGGAGAAAAGCAGAUGUGUCAGAGAACCCA